ACACUACAUCCCAGGUGCAUUCCUGAAAUACUUGCUGGGUGGAUUGAGCUUAUUCUGGGGCCUAUCCUGCUUGAAUAUGCAAAGGAUUCCAGUGUUAUCUGGUAUAUCUGAUGCGGCAUUGACCUAUACUCUCAUAUCUUAUCUUCCUACUCAGUAUGCAACCAGAAAAUGCUGGUGCUGCUGUACUACUGAGGGCAGUGCCUCCCUCCAACAACUGCUCUGCAGUGUGAGAUGUGGUCACUCACACAGACUCCUAAUACAGCCCACCGCAUGUAGUCUGGCAAGGUUUUAUUAGCCUCUUCCCCACCAAGGAAACAAAGCUUUUGCCUUGUAAUCCUCUGGAACCCAAGGGAGAGCCAUCUGUCUGUCAGUACCAGAGAUAACUUCUCUUCUAGAGGAAUACAAAAUCUGAACCACAGCUGCAGCUGCAGCACUGCUAUCCGAGCUUUACGAGUGUUUUUAAGAGGCAAUUGAACAAUCAGUCCAGAACACCGAUGUUGACCUGAUUUCUGCUUAAGGAACACCUGACUUUGUUUCCCACUUUCUCCCUUCCCACCUCAGUUCCUGGGGUGACAGGGCCAAGUUCCAGCAACAAUAGCUGAGUUCUGGCAUUUUGACAUCCAAACCAGGGAUUGUUGUUGCAAAACCAUGUGCAAUUCAGCGCUGAGCAAUGUGUUCCCUACACACAGCUCAGUGCAGUACACUGGGAUGGUUACUAUUAUCGACACUAUUAGGACAUACAGGAGAGCAUGAUGCAAUAGAAGGAACACCAAGCUGAGAUAAAGGUGACAUGGGGAACUGUUGUAGGCAGCUUGAAGGUAUAACUAUAUGCGAAAGCCCCACUGGUUCUGGAGUUGGCCUAUGGAUUUGCAAUGAAUGGAGCAACCAGAAAGGAAUGCAGAUAUAACGGAGAGCCCUCCCUGCCAUCUGCACCCAUGAGCCCACUGCAUCACAGGAUUUUUGCAGGCCCUGCCAUACAAAAAUAACCAAAACCAAGUGAAAAAGUGUUUAGUCUUACAAAUCUCAAAAUAAAAGGAACCUUGGAUAUGAGUGAUUCUUUCUCAUCUCUAAACAUAUAUGUACUUCCAUAAUGCUGAACUCAAUUCUUCUUUUCUUUAUCUUGCAUUUAAACAAUAGACCAGGUUUUAUGGUUCUAUGCGAAGAACUUGUUACACAAGCUCCAGUGACUCACAGUCUUGUUGAACACUGUAUUCCCAAGUACUAGCCUCUAACACCAGGAAUCCUGGUAAAUGGAAUUAAAUAUUUUGCAAGAACAUCUUGCUACAGCAUUUAAUACAUCUCUUGCAUAACUGACUCUUUUGGUGGGAUCUUUACUUUGGAAAAUAAAACAGAUAUAUGCAUGUAUUCAGUUGAGAGGUUGUAACAUGUUGAUACUGAUUUACUUGAGAGUUUUGGCCAAAUAUGGUGUGCUUAUGUUGCUGGGAGUAAAAGGGAGAU
ensembl:lncRNA